CUUAAAUGUGGUCAGGCUGGUUGUUCACAAGUUUAUGGCACUUUUUCUGGGUUUAGAAAGCAUCUCAAUAAAGCACACAGACCUUGUUCUGAUCCUGGUGAAGCCCCAUCUAAACCUGAAGCGUUAACAAGUCAUGUUGAAGUCUUGCCAUCAACAAGUUCAUACUCGGUUCUUAUCAAUAAGAGUCUUGUAGGCAGUUGCGCGGCAACAAUAGCUGAACUUAAAGUGGCCGGUGUCAGUGAAACAACCAUUAACUCUUUGAUCAUUUCCAUGGAAGAGAUUAUCGAUGAUAUCCAUAAUUGACUAAAAGAGUCUGUGAAAAGUUGUCUAUCUUUACAGGAGCCUGUCAAAAGUGACAUUGAGGAUAAAAUUGAUCAGUGUUUUGAAAAAUGGAAAAUCCUUUUGGUGAAUUAAAUUCUGAAAGUAAAAGAAGGCAUUAUUUUACAGAGAAGUGGGGAAGGCUAGACCCAGAGGAAGUUGUUCUUGGUACAAGAUUUGAUACUCUCUGGGACUGGGACCAGCAUCCAGGGGCAUCUGGACAGCAUCAUGGAAAGCCUUCAACCCUAUCUGCUUGCUGUGGGGACCAAGAAGAGUGUGAUUCACAAGCUCUUCAUGUGAUUGACAAACAUGCAAUACCUUAAUCGAACGGCUGUGGCGUGUUGUGUGGACAGCAGUAACUAGCACAUAUUAUGAUGUCCUGCACACACUUGAAGAAGAGGGACUACUGGAUAUCACAAACACACUGCACAUCUUCCUGGUGCACUAUGUGUUCCUACCCCGUCUCUGCAGGGACCUUCACACCUUCACUGAAGGAUGGAACCAUCACCCACCCCUCAGGAGUUGUGGCAGUUGGGCCUGCUGCAAAACAGCACAGAUUAGGCUGAGAAUGUUGAGGAUCUGCAAGAACUUGACAUAGACUGGGAGAGUGCCCUUUACCAUGAUGAGGCCCUACCAGAAUCUGGGGUUGUUGUUCCAGAACUUCCCACGCCCCUAAAUGAGCAAGAUAUGACAGAACUACAAGCUGCUGUGGACCCUACAGAGCUGUCAGACUCCCAUGGUCGAGACAUUUACUGUCGUUGUCUUCAAAUCAUUCAGUGAGCAACUGUCAUGUUGGUAAGUCUGAGCACCAACUGCUUUGCCAUAUACUGUACAUGUAGACAUAUGAAAAAGACCAAGUCACAGUUUGUAGAAUUGAACAAACAUCUUUAUAUUUAGAAUUGAGGUGUUAUUUUAAAAUGUAUUUAUGUUUUUCCAUCUGUGGCAGUGUUUCUCCUUAAAACUUUUUCAACUAUUUGUCAUACAUAUAUUAAUUCUAAUAAUUACAAUUGUUAUUUGAUCAGUAUGUGGUGGUAAGCAGUUUUGGAAGGGCCAUACUGGUGGUUUUGCAUGUGUAAGAUGACCAUGAUGAGUACUUUGCAUUCCUGUUGAGAGUUUUCAAAAUCAUCAUUUUUUGGAUUGAUUUCCUUCCUUUCAGGCAGCCGUUGUUUCUAUGAAAAUUAACUCGCAGAGACUUCAGAACAACUCUCUUUGUGCAGAGCUUGCUUAUCCAAUGAUAAAGAACAUUUGUAAGAGGGAACAAACACGGA